CUCAGAUGUAUCCACUGCCAAUUUCCACCCUCUGUUUAAUUCUCGGCUAUCGGACAAAAGUUGCAGAGUUUCUUGGAGCUCAAGCUCUAACUGAAGCUUCAUCAGAGACACGGACGAGGUGAAAAGGGAGAUUCUGCGGUUAGAUGACUGGCUCCUCCUGGAAUUUUACACUCGCUGCAUCUCUAAGGGUGAACAAUGAGACGGUUGUGAUGGAUCCUCUGCUGUGACAAGAGACUUGUGUUUCGUGACCUGUGGACAAGGCCGAGUCGACGCCGUGGCACGCCAAGCUCCUCUCCCCCUGGCUUCCUGUCAGGAAUGUGCUAGUAAUCGCGGUGGGUAAAAUCCUCACAGGGUGACACAGUUUGUAGUGACAACUAAUAUUAAUCAAGGGUGUUUUAGUUGGUGUAGGUCGUGCUUGAGGCAUUUUCCCCCCUAUAUUUUUCGCAUGAGGUAGCAUUCGCUAGGAGACGCUUUCUCCUCUAGAGGGCAGAGCGACGGUGACAUUUCACAUUGCUAAUGGGACACUGAAGGCUGAGAAUGAAUUGAUAUCUUAAAUAGAUGUAUGAUACUUGAUUUCCAGGCUGUUUUUAUGCAAUUGAUUUGAACCUCAAGUUACAAGUUCAUUUUAAAUCGCUAAGCUACAGCCUUUUGGCUGCUGUAACCAGUCUAUCACCUAAUCACCUCAGGUCUGAGAGAAGUUACAGUACUAGCAAACUUGGAUUUUUACAGAAAAUAUUUAUUUAAGACAACUUGCUACCAAUUCUACCUUACAUUUUAGUUACACAAUAAUGCUAGCUAGCUUGCUACAAGAUACUAAGCCUAGCUUAAGCUAACUAGCUAACAAAGUUAGCUAAGUAAUAAAGUCAAAUAGCUACUGUAUAA